rnacentral:rRNA from 1 species
UACGGGGGGAGCAAGCGUUGUUCGGAUUUACUGGGCGUAAAGGGCGCGUAGGCGGCGUGACAAGUCACUUGUGAAAUCUCCGGGCUUAACUCGGAACGGUCAAGUGAUACUGUCGUGCUAGAGUGCGGAAGGGGCAGCUGGAAUUCUUGGUGUAGCGGUGAAAUGCGUAGAUAUCAAGAGGAACACCUGCGGCGAAGGCGGGUUGCUGGGCCGACACUGACGCUGAUGCGCGAAAGCUAGGGGAGCGAACGGG